GCACGGCACUGUUCGAACGGCUAAGGACCUCACCGGACGCACUCACAGAGCGUCCGGUGCAGCGUCCGGUGCCCCUUUGGGCACCCAAACUUCGUCGAAACGUGAUCGCUCCAAAACGAAGUUGGUUCCUCUCGAUCUAAGGACUAUCUCUGAGCUGCCUAGUGCUAGGUUUACCAAGUGUGCACCACACCUAAACCUAAAGCCUUGCCUAAGUCAAGCUACUAGAUCAAAGCCCCUCUUAAUAGUACGGUCAAAGGAAAAACAAAUUCCUAAACUACUCUAAGUGCCCUUCUUCACCAUAUGGCACUUAGACCUAGUCUAGUCUUGACGAUGUCCAUCCAUCCUUCAAAAACCGAAACGAUUUCCACUACUAAGUUGGCAUAUACGUCCCUGUCCAUCGAGUACCUAUUUACCAUGACCUUACCUAUGACUUUGCCUCUGCAAAACACAUGUUAGUCAUAGUAAUCAAUAAUGUCAUUAAUCACCGAAAUCACUAGGGGCCUAGAUGCUCUUUCAGGUAGUAGUAGUAGAAGGAUUAGGACUAGGAGUAGUAGGCGUAGUAGUAGUGGUAGUGUGAGUAGUGGUACUACUAGUAGUGGUUAUAGUAGUAGUUUACUUUGUUAAUACUUGCAUAUAAUCUUCUGCAUGGAUUGAAAAUACAUAUGUGCUUGUCAACUAUCGUGCCGGUGAUGUAUUUGUGGUUGUCGGUCAUCGUGCUGUCUUUUUUGCAAGUUUGGUAAUGAGAGUACAGGGGAGGUGCUGCCGAAAUUUUUCGUUCUCACUAAUUGGUUUUUUUUCAGGAGGGCUCCCGUUGGAGGAUAGUCGGAGGAGCACGACUCGGCAUUGCCCCGCUAGCCUGUCUUCACCGGCACCUACGGUAUGACCCCUCUUUCUGUCACAUGUGGUCGUAGGUCGUGUUACCUAGUUAGGCGUCUCCCGUCCAAAACGGAUACGGUUGGUAGUAUGCGAUCUUUGCUUAUGUAUAACAAUAUCUGUUUCGAAUUGUCCACUUUUUUUGAUAGCCCGCGAAUGCGUAGACGAGUUUAGUUUCCAUGGUCUGCUCUGCAGAGUUCUCUGGGUGUUACUCUGCCACCCAACUUGAUGGGUCCACCUUAGCCUCCUCCCAUUGUUCCUCCCUUCGUUGCUCUCCACACUACUCCAGUGAGUAAUAUAUAUCACACAUGCAUGUUAUUUAGCUAUUUAACUUUGUCUCAUACAAUCACUGCUCCUGUGUGUAGCCUCAGUCGGCAGGUUUGAACCACGUGCCGAAUGAGCACGGGGGACCGUCGCCGCCGUCACAUGGGUGGCUCGAGUACCCACCUCCACCGUCGCCUCAGUGAGCAACGUCGAAGAAGUUGUCAUGUAUUCCUUCUCUUGGUGAUGAACCUGAACUUGUUGUGUUGAACUUCAUGGCAUGGACUUGGACUUGUUGUGUUGGACUUGUUGUAUUGAACUUCAUGAACAUCAAGUUGUUGUAAUGGACUUUAUCGCCGAAUAAGUGAUGCUAUUAUGAGAUAUAUGUGCUAUUAUGAUAUAUAUAGUGACGGUGGUGAUAAAAGUGAUGAAAUUGUGAUAUAAAUGGUGCUACUUGUGUUCAUGGUGAUAUCCAUGUGAUGUAUAUAUAUGAUUUGUUGUGUUUGUAGCGAUAAAAAGCAAAAAAACAAAAAAAAAACAAAAUCUGGAUUUCAGCUUUGCCUAGCGCAACGCUAGGCAAAGAGCCUUUGCUGAGCGCUUUUUGGCGCAGCGCUCAGCAAAGCUGCCAUGUUUGGCACUGCACCAUGGCAGCUUAUCCAACUUUGCCAAGUGCCAAACACUUGGCCCUCGACAAAGGCAAUCCUUUGCCAAGCGCCAAGCUAGAGGCGCUCGACAAAGGAUUUUUUUUAAAAAAAAUUUCCCUUUGCCGAGUGCCUUUUAUCGGAGGCGCUCGUGAAAGCCCUAGUUUGGUUGUGGAUAAUUGAUGAAACCCUAGUACUAACCUCUAUGCUAAGUAUGUGUAGACUUAAUGAGGUUGGUACGUGCCAAGUGAUGGAGCAAGAGAUGAUCAUGGUGAUGAUGGUGAUGACCACAAGGUGAUCAAGUGCUCAACUUGAAAAGAAGGAAGAGAAAAACAAAACCCUAUGGAGAUCAAGGCACAGGUAUUGCUUAGGGUUUUGGUUUUAGUGAUCAAGACACCAUAGAGGGUGUGAUCACACUUAGGAUAGAUAGCCGUACUAUUAAGAGGGGUAAUCUCGUCGUGAAAACGGUUGUCUAAGUGCCACUAGGUGAUUGGAUUCCUUGCAUGUGCAUUAGGACCUAGUGAACUAACUAAGUAACCCUUGAAAAAUGUUUUGAAAUAUGCUAACACACGUGCACAAGUGUGGAGACACUUUGGUGUUAGCGCAUGGAAGCAAGGGAAGUAGUUGAGAUCGUUUUGCGCAGUGCUUUCAAGCCGAACGCGUCAGGUAUGAGGUCGGACGUGUCCGAGUUGAGGCACCGGACGCCGAAACAGUUUUCGUGUAGAGUCCGGUUUGCCUCGUCCGGUGAGUUCGUUUCUCGGUGAAAACUCUCUGAGUUUGCGUCAGGUGCACACCGGAAGCGUCCGAGUUAGCGUCCGGUGCAAACUCUUCGUGUAGAGCUCCCUGGGUUUACGUCCGGUGCACACCGGACACGUCCAGUGUGUGAGUCCGGUGGUGUGACAAUUUGCGUCGCUCCUUGAGUUUUUGUCCGGUGUGACACCGGACACGUCCGGUAUGAUCAAAAGCGAGAGUCCGGUGCCCUGUCAGUGUCAGAGGCAACGGCUACUUUUCUAACGGUCAGGAGCACCGGACGCUGGUCUGGCUCAUACCGGACGCGUCCGGUGUGAACUAGGACGCGUCCGGUGUGGACGCAGACAGUAGGGUAAACUGCCAACGGCUAGUUGAAGCUUGGGACUUCUAUUUAUAUGCCUUGGCUGGUUCUUGCUCACUCUCUUGACUCUCUAACUUGUUGAUACACCUUGUGAGCAUACUCCUACACAUCCCACUCACCUUGUUCAAGAUUUGUUCAUCCAAAGUGAGAUUGGGAGAGAUCCUAGUUGCAUUUGCUUAGAGUUUGAGCAUCUAGUGGCACUAGUGAUCGUUGAGCAGUGGGUUUGCUUGUUACUCCUGGUGGUUGCCGCCACCUAGAUGGCUUGGAGCUGCGGAGGAGUUUUGACACGAGUUGGUGAUUGUUCGUGGCCAUCUCCCGGUGAUUGUGAGGGGUUUGUGCCUACCUCGGCAGAGAGCCAAAGGCAACAUUAGUGGAUUGCUCGUGUCAUUGAGCUACCUCACUUCUGGGUAGGUUCUUGUGGUGUCCUAGUGAGGACGAGGUUCGUGCUACACCUCUUAGCCACCGAACCACCAAGUGUUGGUCGACACAAUGGGGACAUAGCGUGCCGGCAAGCACGUGAACCUCGGGAGAAAAAUUGUUUGUCUCCAUUGUGUUUAUUCAUUGGAUUUCUCCUGGUGAUUGGACUUCAUUUUAUUGAUUGGUUCAUCCCCUCUACGCGGCGGUAUAAUGAUCAAACCAUCUCUCUUACUUUCCCGCAAACUAGAGUAGCUUACUUACUUGUAUAGAUACUUUAGAUAGCUCUCUAGUGUAAGUAGUGACAUAGCUCUUGUGUGCCUAGUGAUCAUAUCAACUAGAAUUGUUGGAUAGGUGGCUUGCAAACACCCCAUUAGAGCUAGAGAAAAAAUCUUUGCUUUGUUAUUUACUAACCACUUGCUCUAGUGAGUUUUGUAGAAUUUUUAAAUAGGCUAUUCACCCCCCUCUAGCCAUAUUAGGACCUUUCAAGUGGUAUCGGAGCCGUGGUCACCAUUUUGUGAAGGCUUAACAACCUCGGUGCACAAAUUAUGGCUCAAAUAGUGUUCAACCAUGUUGGGGGCAAACCACCGUUCUUUGAUGGCACAAGUUCCUUUGACUAUUGGAAGAUAAAAAUGAAGAUGUACCUUGGAUCAAUCAAUGAUAGAGUGUGGGAAGUCACAGAGAAUGACUUUGUGAUCCUUGACCCCGCCAACCCCACCGACAAUGAGAGAGCAAACAAGCAAUGCAAUACUAUGGCUCUCAACACAAUCUAUAAUGGCAUUGAUUCAAAGGUGUUUGAACAAGUCAAAGAUCUUGAGAAAGCAAGUGAAGUGUGGACAAGAUUAGAAGAAAUAUAUGAGGGCACUACAACGGUAAAAAGUGCCAAGUUGUACAUGCUCAAGGACAAGCUAUCCAACUUCAAGAUGAAGGAUGAUGAGUCAAUCCCGGAGAUGUUCUAUAGGCUCCAAGUCAUCAUCAAUGAUCUCAAGGGCCUUGGCGAAAAAGUAAAGGAUGAGGACUUCAUUCACAAGUUCUUGAUGUGUUUGCCCAAGAGGUUCAAGACAUUGAGAACAAUCAUCUUUAGAGGUGGAUUGACUGGUGUAUCUCCCAAUGAGGUACUUGGAGAUGUCAUGACCGAAGAUCAAUACAAUGACAAUGAUGAUGAUGAGGUCAUGAAGAAGGAUGAUGAUGACAAGAAGAAGAGUGUAGCAUUCAAAGCUAGCUCUUCAUCCAAAGGAAAGAACAAGGGCAAGGCCAAGAAGGAAGAAUCAAGUGAUGAGGAGUGCUCCAAUGAUGAUAGUGAUGAUGAAGCACUAGCACUCUUUGUCCACAAAUUUGGCAAGAUGAUGAAGAAGAAGGGCUACCAUACAAGAAAGAGAAGGGACAACUCCAAGAACAAGGAAUAUGUGAGGCUAUGCUACAAGUGCAAGAGCCCCGAUCAUAUUGUGGCGAAUUGUCCAUACAAUAGUGAUCAUGAUGAGCAUGGGAAGAAGAACAAGAAGGAGAAGAAAGAAAAGAAAGACAAGAAGAUGGUUUUUGAAGGACCGAAAAAUGGCGAUCAGAGGGGGGGCGAAUGGGAGCCUCAAAUUUUCUUUCGAAAAUAUUUGGCCACUGUCCCGAGUUCACCAUCAAACGCGCAACAACUCCAGAACUAGAAUACUCACGCCAACUAGUGACAGAAGUACCUAGAGAAAUUCCUUAGUACUAUAGAAACUCGAAGCAACAGACGAAAUACAAAUUGGAGUCCAAAUAACCAAGAUGUGCACAAAACAGAAAAUCAGGACCAGAGAAAAUUCAUUAGAAAAUCACCAAGAAAAACGGACAGAGUAACGGCUUAAAAAUAGAGCACUCUAUUUUACCAGCAAGAACUGGAUCCUUGCAAAACAAAUUACUGAAUUGGAUUUGCUCGGCACUCAAUGGUGCACGGCCUACCAGUCAGCUACAACACUAACCACACCUGCAGAAGAUGAGAACAUACACAGUAACAUGAUGCACAUCAAACUGAAACUUAUACACUGUGAAGGAAUUGCUCUCCACACACAGAGGAAAAAGAAGCACAGCACAGGCAGAAGCUUAUAUGGCAGGGAUCGCUUCCGGCAAAAACCAACAACUGACACUGAAACUGAAACUGAUGAAACACCGAAAGCACAGAUAAACACCAAAGCUUAGAUGAAUAUGUAUCGGUGAGACCUGGACACCACCGUACAAAAAGACAAACACAGAGAAAAAAAAAAAUCUACCAACUCACCACCGUGAAAGCUACUAGAGCAAAUGAAGUAAUUAAAUACUCCAAACAAAUCGACUCUUGGUAAACUCAAGAAGGCAGGAAGUUUGUUUUUGACCAAUCAAAAAUCAGUACUAAUUCUUGGCUCAUGACAAACAAAGCUUGAAGCUAGACGAGUGCAGAGAACUGAUGGCGCUCCUGGACUGCUCAAAUUCUGACGGACUGCUGGUGCCCUCGUAACGGUAUGGGAGGAAGUCAAGAAGAGUUUGCUCUGCUUCAAUCCACACUCUACGAAAAACAGAAGGGCUCGAGCGCACGAACGAAGAGGGGACGAGUGCUUGGAGCAGAGCGCUGGACAGUGGGCGUCCACCUUGGCCAAGGUCAAGUACUGCUCAAGAGAGCACGCACGGCGCCUGUGCGCACGGCACUGGUAGCACUGCAGCAAGCUCCAUGCACAAAAUUCUCCACAGAGCCAAAGAACGAACAGGAGAUAGACGAACACAGAAUCGACCGGAUCUCUCUUGAUUUGGAAGAUGUUAAGCCCAAACUUUGCACAAAUUAAAUUCAACUAGAAAUAAAACUAUUCUCCAAAAAUCAUUGCCUGGGAUGAUCCCAAACUCCGGGAAAUCGAAAUCGAACCCAUGAACAAAAAGGGAACAAAAACACAGCACAGUGAUACUCGAAAAUCACAGCAAAGUAUGUUGAAUCCCGGAGGACAAAUGAAGGAUUUGGGCCUCCAUUCCCAACUCGAAAACCAGUACAAAAACACUUUUCAGUUCAUAGCCCUCUCUGCUAAAGAAACCAGGAAGGGGGAGGAGAGCUACGGGGAGAGGAGAAAGGGUUCACGAAAAAACUAUGAGAGAGAAGGGAGAGGUGGAAAAAGAAGAUAGAAGAGAUGGGGGAACUUCUCCGGCUUAUUUAUCAGGCAUAUUACAUAUUCCCCAGAUGUCCUUAGAUAUUUUUGAGCGAACUAGCUAGCCCCAGGGGCAUUCUAGUCCAACUCGACAUGACCUAAAUCCGACGGCCACCGCGCCUCCUCACCGGUAGCCUCGCUCCGAAGCGAUCUCACCGAUGCCGCCACGUGCCAUCCGUCCGCAUCGGGACCUCCGCCCGGGUUUUGAGGCCCAAACCCGCGAAACCCGCCGCGAGUAGCGUAGCCCGUACGCGUCCCCCGCUGUGUACACUUUGCGCUUAUCAAUGUCCCAAGUGUCAGCCACCGCAGCUGGCCACCUGGUCGUCUGGUCCGUCAGUCCAAGCCUCACGUCCGCCCUUCACCGCAACCAGUCCGUCAGCACGGCACGCCCUACUUGACCUUCACCCGACCGCUGCCACCGCAUCCAGACUCCACACCUACACAUCACGAAGCCAAGAGACACCGUUUCGACACAUAACCCUGUGCCAGGAUAUCAGUAGAACCACCGAACCAACAACCCACCAAAAUGUUGGCAUGUUGACAAUCGCUCAUCACACAACAGGGGUACUCCACAAUGGUUAUGUAAAAACUAUGUGUUCGCAAUCUCCCCCUUGAUGAGUGCAUUGUCAACAUCAACACAAAGCCAGAGAAAACCAACUCAAGUGUAAGCUCGAAACGGGUCACUCACAAUGAGUAACGCAAAGCCAACAACUUGGUCCCCAAAGACAUGGGCAACGGCUCGACACAACCAAGUAAAACACAGCUAGCCCUCAAGAAGAGGCAAAGAGGCUCAACACCGCUAGCAAAACUUGAAAAGCCAGAAAACAACUAGACCCUCCAGAAGAGGCAAAGGCUCAACACAUCUAGCAAAAACAACUCAAAUGCAACUCCCCCUGAGGAAAUGCAAUCUCUCUCAAAUGAAUGCAUGUCUCUCUUUUUGUGUGUAACUUUCUCCCCCUUGUUGACACAUGCACUUAUCAAGAUUUGCCCAAAGGAGUGCAACUCCCCCUCAAAUCAUGCUAUGAAUGCAAGAAAUGCACAAAUGCAGAAGCUUCAGGAGUAUAGCAAUCAUAUUGAAAAGAUGCUCUUGGUGGUGCUGUCAUGUGUGUAUAGCAAUAAGUACAAGUGCUAGCACAUAGCAGGUAUAAGUAGGAAAUCAACCUAGUGCUAACAAGUGUAUACAAGGUGAACUACCCCAAGCAGCGUUCAUACAUCAUGUCAAAGACUAACUUUAGACUUGUGUUUUCAUCAAAUUUUCAUAUUAUCGGAGUUUGCAGCAUAUCACAAGGUUUAGUCAAAACAUGUGUGAGUGCGAGAGGUUAUCUGUACCAUCAAACCAACUUAUCGACCAUGCCAAGCCUAUGUCAGAGACAAUCGCAAGCUUAAGACAAUGAUCUCGGCAUCCACUACAAGGCUCAAGUUCAUCCAUAAGUGCAAUUGGAAGCAGUCUCGAUACCUUGACGUAGGACAGUACAGACCCAUCUCGAUCUUUUCUUUUCACUUAGCUUGAUUUUCAAUUUUUAGCACAAGAUUUUGCAAGUUGUCCAAGCAAGUGUAUAACUCAAAGCAUGAGACAUAGCAACCUAGCAUAUAAAUGAUAGCUCAAGUGAUCUCAACACAUCCUACACAUGCUAGUUGCCAAUGACAAUGGUGAACAAUUUUCAGGUUUCAACAGGUUUAUGUCAAGUUCACUAGUUGUAAAACAGCUUAGCUCAUAACAUGCAUCAAGUGAUCAAAAAGAGCCUAAGCGACAAGCACCAUCAUGUACAUACAAGACAUAUCACAAAGAGCAUAAUCUCAAUCUAACAACUAUAAUCAUGAAGCUCAAAAUGCUCUAAUAUACAUGAUGAGAUGAAAUGCAAUGCAAUAUGAUACAAAAAAUAAAAUAAAAGCGAAACUAAAAGAAACAAAACUAGUGUACAAAAAACCAAAGUGUUGAUGCAAAAACUAGUCUGCAAA
rnacentral:lncRNA from 1 species